rnacentral:rRNA from 1 species
AUUGAACGCUGGCGGCAGGCCUAACACAUGCAAGUCGAGCGGAUGAAGGGAGCUUGCUCCUGGAUUCAGCGGCGGACGGGUGAGUAAUGCCUAGGAAUCUGCCUGGUAGUGGGGGAUAACGUCCGGAAACGGGCGCUAAUACCGCAUACGUCCUGAGGGAGAAAGUGGGGGAUCUUCGGACCUCACGCUAUCAGAUGAGCCUAGGUCGGAUUAGCUAGUUGGUGGGGUAAAGGCCUACCAAGGCGACGAUCCGUAACUGGUCUGAGAGGAUGAUCAGUCACCCUGGAACUGAGACACGGCCCCGACUCCUACGGGAGGCAGCAGUGGGGAAUAUUGGACAAUGGGCGGAAGCCUUAUCCAGCCAUGCCGGGUGUGUGGAGAAGGGUUUCGGAUUGUAAAGCACUUUAAGUUGGGAGGAAGGGCAGUAAGUUAAUACCUUGCUGUUUUGACGUUACCAACAGAAUAAGCACCGGCUAACUUCGUG